AAACCUUAUCUGGAAAUAGCACUUUUUCUCUUUAUAGCAAACAAAGCCUCAGAUACUCAAAAGACCCUGACUCCAAGCCAAAUAUAUCAUUUUGGAACACCGUUUCUCUCUAGAAAGAAUCUAGGGUUCGAACAGUGAAUCUUCCCCCUCAGUUUUCUGGUGACCAUGUGAGAUUUCUUGAUACUAAUAGGAAAGAAAGAACAUAUUAAUCUUCUGAUAGUAUGGCGACAGAAAGUCCAAUCAGAAUGUCAGAAACUAGUGGGAAAUGGCCUUCCCAUCAAGAGACUGCAACAUUUGCAGUGUCAUCUGCUAGUGUGGCAGCAGAGGAGUUGGGAUUGCUUUUGAAGGGCCAUAAGUUUCAUGGAAGGGGGAGGGAUGCAGUCCCUAAUCGAAGUGGAAGUGCACCCCCAAGCAUGGAAGGUUCGUUCUUGUCCAUGGACAACCUUUUGUCCCAACAGACCUACAACUUGAAUGAAAGCCUUGCAAGUCUAAACAGUGCCUAUGAGUCUGAGGAGCAAAUGCGUGCUGAUCCAGCUUAUUUGGCUUAUUACUUUUCCAAGGUCAACCUAAACCCUAGGCUUCCUCCCCCACUUACCUCAUCAGAGAAUCGCCGUGUGGUACGCCAUUUUGGUAGUUUUGGCAACAACUGGACAUUGACUUCUGUGGAUGAUAGUGGCAACAGUUCCUUGCAUAUGUCUCACGGAACCCUCUCUACGCAGUACGAAGAGUCUGAAGAUGAUCAGUCACCCCAAAAGCCUUCUGAUGAUUGGGUAGAUGGGACAAGUGGGUUUUGGUCUGGCCAGGAUGUGGCUUCAUUGGCAGGUCAACAGAAAAAUAUGGUGGAUUUAAUAAAGGAAGAUUUACCCCACACUCCUCCAUCUGUAUAUAGUCAGUCUAACUUGUUAAGCCAUGGAGUAGUAGAGGAAGCAGUUGACCACAAUGGUGAUUCCAGGUCCUUGUGCGAUCCGCUUAUUAGCACAUCAAAUGGCGUCACAUCUACUCCUAGUGCAGAUUAUAGAAGGGCAUCAUCAAAUUCCGAUCCUUCGGUUGGCCCUGAUUCAAGGUCAUCAUUUCAUGAUCGUAUAGGAAGUGCGGAUGUAAAUGAUUCAAACAUUACCACUAUUGAAUCUGAAAUGAAGGCUCUUUUUAGAUCCAAUCCUCCAAAUCCAGAAAAUCAAAAAAAUCAAGAACAAUGGCAACAUGGCAGCCAGAAUAAUAUCUUGCAACCCCUGGUAAACCAAUUACAAAACAAUUUUUCUCAAGUUCAAACCGCCAAGUCUCAAGUGAUAUCUCAAGGUGUAAACUGCACAUAUGUUGGUGCGGACCAGUUUCUCCAUAAUCCCAGCAAGUUUACAGUAGAGGUACAACCAGUACUACAGUCGUCUGGGUUCACGCCUCCACUCUAUGCAACUGCAGCGGCUUACAUGACUUCAGCAAAUCAUUUCUACCCUAAUCUGCAGGCCCCAGGCUUAUAUCCACCACAAUAUGUAGGUGGAUAUGCUUUGAAUCCUGCAUCUGUUCCUCCAUAUAUUGCUGGAUACUCUCCUCAUGGUGCUGCCGUUGUUGUUGAUGGAACUGCUGGUCCAAGCUAUACUGCUCAAACACCUGGGGUUUCAACUGGGGGAAACAUAGCGCAUGGAGCUGAUAUGCAACAUUUAGGCAAGUUCUAUGGACAGUUUGGUUUUCCACUACAACCUUCCUUUGGUGACCCUGUAUGUAUGCAGUACCAGCAACAGCUUUAUGGUGAGGCAUUCAGUGGCAUUUCUGGUCAAUUUGAUCCAUUGGCUUCUAGAGGUGGCAUUGAUAUUGGGAGCCAGGUUAGAGCUCUUGAUUCACAGAAAGGUUCCAGUAUUGCUGGUUAUUUGGAUGAUCACAAAUUCCAUCAGAUAAAUGGAGGCUCGAAUAAGUUAAACCCAAGACGAGGUGGGAUGAUGAGUCCUAACUAUUAUGGGAAUCCUACAAACAUGGGUUUUCUGAUGCAGUAUGCCAACUCGCCACUUGCAAGUCCAGUUUUGCCAGGAUCGCCUGUUGGUGGAACUGGUGUUCCUGGGGGAAGAAAUGAAAUGAGAUUUGGUCCAGCUUCUGGUAGAAAUGCUGGUGUAUAUCCUGGAUGGCAAGGUCAAAGAGGCUUUGAGAGUUUUGAUGACCCCAAAAUAUAUAAUUUUCUUGAAGAGUUGAAAUCUGGCAAAGGCCGCAGAUUUGAGCUGUCUGAUAUCGUAGGACAUAUUGUUGAAUUCAGUGCUGAUCAACAUGGGAGUCGAUUUAUUCAGCAGAAGUUGGAAAAUUGUAGUGUUGAAGAGAAGGCAUCCGUAUUUAAAGAGGUUCUCCCUCAUGCUUCCAAGCUAAUGACUGAUGUUUUUGGUAACUAUGUUAUUCAGAAGUUUUUUGAGCAUGGAAGCCCUGGACAGAGGAAGGAACUUGCUAAUCAACUCACAGGUCAGGUUUUGCCUUUAAGUCUGCAGAUGUAUGGCUGUCGUGUAAUCCAAAAGGCACUUGAGGUUAUUGAGCUUGAACAAAAAGCACAGCUUGUUCGAGAGCUGGAUGGACAUGUUAUGAGAUGUGUACGUGAUCAAAAUGGGAAUCAUGUAAUACAAAAGUGCAUUGAGAGUGUUCCAACAGAGAAAAUUGAGUUUAUCAUAUCUGCUUUUCGUGGUCAAGUUGCGACGCUUUCUAUGCAUCCUUAUGGUUGUCGUGUCAUACAGAGAGUUCUAGAGCAUUGUACAGAUGAGCUGCAAUGUCAGUUUAUAGUGGAUGAAAUAUUGGAGUCUGUUUGUGCUCUUGCUCAGGACCAGUACGGAAACUAUGUCACCCAGCAUGUAUUGGAGAGAGGAAAGCCUCAGGAAAGGUACCAGAUUAUAAGCAAGUUGUCAGGACAUAUUGUACAUCUGAGCCAGCAUAAAUUUGCUUCAAACGUUGUUGAGAAAUGUUUGGAGUAUGGUGGGGCCACUGAACGAGAACUAUUAAUUGGAGAGGUUUUUGGGCAUACGGAAGGAACUGAUAAUUUAUUGAUAAUGAUGAAGGACCAAUUUGCAAAUUACGUGGUCCAGAAGGUUCUUGAAAUAUGUUCUGAUAAUCAGCGAGCAAUAUUGCUUAGUUGUGUAAGAGUUCAUGCACAUGCUUUGAAGAAAUACACUUACGGGAAACACAUUGUGGCUCGAUUUGAACAGCUAUUUGGAGAAGAAAAUCCUACGUCUGGAUCCUGAUGCAAAAACAGGGGGAAUCAUCCAUGCCUCUGGUUGGUGAUGCUAUGGCCCAUCUCGUACUUGCAAUCAGUGAAAAGAAAGGAAUAACAUGAGACAGGUUUUAAGGUGAGAUUGCAGGUGAUAGAGUUGAUACUAGGAUGGAUUUUAGCAGUUGUGUAGGAUGUCAAAUUGCUGAGGGUGAAGAAUAUUCUCAUGGGAAUCACAACAAAUGAAUAUAAUCUUUGAAAACUACUACUUCUGGGUUGUCACCUCAAAAUUUAUCUUAAGGUUGUUUCUUUGGCCUGGGGAGAUGGGUUUAUUGCUUUGCUACAAGAGAUGUGAUCAUGCUCUAGGCGUUCAUAUGCUGCUCUCUAAUUUUUUGUGGUCUGGGUAACCGAUUGAAUGGCAUUCCUUAAAAGCUUUGACUGCAUGCAAAAAGAAAAGGGUUACUUUUUUCGGUUAAUAUUUUAAGGAUGUUCCUGAUCUAAUCUAAAGGUGAGAUUGCCAGCAAACUGUUGGGAUUGAAAUAAUGACAAGAAUUUCCUACAAA